GAAAAAUAGUUGGUUGCACUCUCGGAAUUCCAUUAAAAUAUAACUUUUAUUCCAGCUUCUAAAACAGAUCAACGUUUCAGUCCACAAGAUCGACUGAAACGUUGAUCUGUUUUAAAAGCUGGAGUAAAAGUUAUAUUUUAAUGGAAUUCCGAGAGUGCAACCAACUAUUUUUC